CCUGUGUCUGAGUUAGCAGCCAUCCCCGUCACCUGCUACCCCAAAACCAGGGCCACAGGGUUCCCUUGUGCUGGAACGCCUGGGUGCCAGCCCCAACAGCCCCUUGCCCCAAGUGUCUGUCAGCACCAUGACGCCCCUGGGUUGUGUCCCAGGUGGUGCCUCUGGGGACCCCACCAGGAAGUGACACUUUCCAUUUUGCAUCACACCCGUCUGACAAAGUGUCUGGGAGAGGGUUGCCAGUGUCCCUGUGGGGUGCAGAGCAAGAAAUCAAAGAAGGGAUGGAAGAGAGGGUCACAUACGCUGAUCUGCGCUUUCCCCCAACACCAGGUCCUCAGCAGCCGGUGCGCCUGCCCUGGUGCUGGGCAGCCCUCAGCCUGGGUCUCCUCUCCCUGGUGCUUCUGCUGGCACAAAUCAUCCUUGUCAGCUUGAGCUUCCACUAUUUAGUACAACAACAGAUGAGCUGCACCCAUGAUCUCUGGAGCAUGGAGAAGAGCCCCAGCUAUGGGCAACAGACACUGCGAGGUAAGAGAGCCUGGUGAGCUCCUGGACAAAGUUUGGAGAGGGCCUAGCUGCUCCUUUCAAGCAGCAGGAUCUGUCCGUGCUCC
ensembl:lncRNA